rnacentral:rRNA from 1 species
CUACGGGUUGCAGCAGUAGGGAAUCUUCCACAAUGGGCGAAAGCCUGAUGGAGCAACGCCGCGUGAGUGAAGAAGGUUUUCGGAUCGUAAAACUCUGUUGUAAGGGAAGAACAAGUACAGUAGUAACUGGCUGUACCUUGACGGUACCUUAUUAGAAAGCCACGGCUAACUACGUGCCAGCAGCCGCGGUAAUACGUAGGUGGCAAGCGUUGUCCGGAAUUAUUGGGCGUAAAGCGCGUGCAGGCGGUCCUUUAAGUCUGAUGUGAAAGCCCACGGCUCAACCGUGGAGGGUCAUUGGAAACUGGGGGACUUGAGUGCAGAAGAGGAAAGUGGAAUUCCAAGUGUAGCGGUGAAAUGCGUAGAGAUUUGGAGGAACACCAGUGGCGAAGGCGACUUUCUGGUCUGUAACUGACGCUGAGGCGCGAAAGCGUGGGGAGCAAACAGGAUUAGAUACCCCCGUAGUC